UGGUGUGUAGCUCAGUGGGAGAGCACUACCUUGACACGGUAGGGGUCCACGGUUCAAUCCCGUGCACACCAA
rnacentral:tRNA from 1 species